rnacentral:lncRNA from 1 species
GUGUGCGUGUGUAUAUACGAUCGAUCAGGGGCAGAGGGUGAGGUGAAACCCUAGUUUCACCAAAAUCCAUCAAAUUGAAGGGGGAUUGAAGGGCUAAACUAAUGCAUGAACCAAGAUUGUCGAUCACUUUAGUGUUUCUACCAUCAUGAUCAUGUUUAAAGGGGAAAGCAUGGAAGGCAAACGGAAUAGGGAUGAGGAAGCAUGUACGAAACGGACACUCGAGGUGCGUAUGAUCAGACGUAUGAAUAUAUGAAUGCACGAAGUAGGAUUUAUCGUCUAUGAAAAGAAUGGGACAGGAAUGAGAACGUCAGACUCUUGUAGAAUUGAAGCCGAACCUUGAAGCCAAACUCGGAACAAAGGAAUCCGAGAGGAUAGUCGAAUGAAUCAAAGUUUAUGUUGUACUACACGGAUUUCUUCUACCACUAUCGAAGAUAAGCGGGCAUAGACCGAGUCGAAUAACAAGGGUUGUACGGAAAGAACGGUUACGUGGUCUUAAUUUUGUAACGCAUUAAUUUUAAAAUUAAAAAGGGAAGUGAAUUUUGUAAGCUUCUUCUUGAAUAUGUGUAUUCUUAUAAGACCGUAAAGAAAUUUUUAAAGCUAUUU